AACGCACCUUGCGCUCCUUGGUAUUCCGAGGAGCAUGCCUGUUUGAGUGUCAUUAAAUUCUCAACCUUAUCAGCUUUUGUUGAUAUUGGCUUGGAUGUGGGGGUUUAUUUUGCUGGCUUCUCAAAGAGGUCAGCUCCCCUUAAAUGUAUUAGCUGGAUGCCUUGUGCAGACUGUCUAUUGGUGUGAUAAUUAUCUACGCCGUUGACCUUCUGCUAAUAUAUAGCACUGCUUCAAAUCGUCUGUUAAAUUAGACAAUCUAUGACAAUUUGACCUCAAAUCAGGUAGGACUACCCGCUGAACUUAA
rnacentral:misc_RNA from 1 species